AACGAACGCUGGCGGCAGGCCUAACACAUGCAAGUCGAACGAAGUCUUCGGACUUAGCGGCGGACGGGUGAGUAAUGCUUAGGAAUCUGCCUAUUAGUGGGGGACAACAUUCCGAAAGGAAUGCUAAUACCGUAUACGCCCUACGGGGGAAAGCAGGGGAUCUUCGGACCUUGCGCUAAUAGAUGAGCCUAAGUCGGAUUAGCUAGUUGGUGGGGUAAAGGUCUACCAAGGCGACGAUCUGUAGCGGGUCUGAGAGGAUGAUCCGCCACACUGGGACUGGGACACGGGCCAGGCUCCUACGGGAGGUACCAGUGGGGAAUAUUGGACAAUGGGCGGAAGCCUGAUCCAGCCAUGCCGCGUGUGUGAAGAAGGCCUUUUGGUUGUAAAGCACUUUAAGCGAGGAGGAGGCUCUUAAGGUUAAUACCCUUGAUGAGUGGACGUUACUCGCAGAAUAAGCACCGGCUAACUCUGUGCCAGCAGCCGCUGUAACAC
rnacentral:rRNA from 1 species